rnacentral:rRNA from 1 species
CUGCUGCCUCCCGUAGGAGUUUGGGCCGUGUCUCAGUCCCAAUGUGGCCGUUCACCCUCUCAGGCCGGCUACUGAUCGUCGCCUUGGUGAGCCCUUACCUCACCAACCAGCUAAUCAGACGCGGGUCCAUCUCAUACCACCGGAGUUUUUCACACUGUCCCAUGCGAGACCGUGCGCUUAUGCGGUAUUAGCAGUCAUUUCUAACUGUUAUCCCCCUGUAUGAGGCAGGUUACCCACGCGUUACUCACCCGUCCG